CCUACGGGUGGCAGCAGUGGGGAAUAUUGGACAAUGGGCGAAAGCCUGAUCCAGCCAUGCCGCGUGUGUGAAGAAGGCCUUCGGGUUGUAAAGCACUUUCAGUGGGGAAGAAAGCCUUGGGGCUAAUACCCUCGAGGAAGGACAUCACCCACAGAAGAAGCACCGACUAACUCCGUGCCAGCAGCCGCGGUAAUACGGAGGGUGCGAGCGUUAAUCGGAAUUACUGGGCGUAAAGCGCGCGUAGGCGGUCUGAUAAGCCGGUUGUGAAAGCCCCGGGCUCAACCUGGGAACGGCAUCCGGAACUGUCAGGCUAGAGUGCAGGAGAGGAAGGUAGAAUUCCCGGUGUAGCGGUGAAAUGCGUAGAGAUCGGGAGGAAUACCAGUGGCGAAGGCGGCCUUCUGGACUGACACUGACGCUGAGGUGCGAAAGCGUGGGUAGCAAACAGGAUUAGAUACCCCGGUAGUC
rnacentral:rRNA from 1 species